GUCUAUCACCAUGCCACCUUGAACAUGUCUAUUCUUGUCUGGUCUCCCAAGCUAAGCAGGUUCGGGCCUGGUUAAUACUUGGAUGGGAGACCACCUAGGAAUACCAGGUGCUGUAGGUG
rnacentral:rRNA from 1 species